GAACUGGUGAGUAACACGUGGGUAACCUGCCCAGAACCAGGGGAUAACACUUGGAAACAGGUGCUAAUACCGUAUAACAACAAAAACCGCAUGGUUUUUGUUUAAAAGGUGGUUUCGGCUAUCACUUCUGGAUGGACCCGCGGCGUAUUAGCUAGUUGGUGGAGUAAUGGUUCACCAAGGCAAUGAUACGUAGCCGACCUGAGAGGGUAAUCGGCCACAUUGGGACUGAGACACGGCCCAAACUCCUACGGGAGGCAGCAGUAGGGAAUCUUCCACAAUGGACGAAAGUCUGAUGGAGCAACGCCGCGUGAGUGAAGAAGGGUUUCGGCUCGUAAAACUCUGUUGUUGAAGAAGAACACAUCUGAGAGUAACUGUUCAGGUGUUGACGGUAUUUAACCAGAAAGCCACGGCUAACUACGUGCCAGCAGCCGCGGUAAUACGUAGGUGGCAAGCGUUGUCCGGAUUUAUUGGGCGUAAAGCGAGCGCAGGCGGUUUCUUAAGUCUGAUGUGAAAGCCUUCGGCUUAACCGGAGAAGUGCAUCGGAAACUGGGAGACUUGAGUGCAGAAGAGGACAGUGGAACUCCAUGUGUAGCGGUGAAAUGCGUAGAUAUAUGGGAGAACACCAGUGGCGAAGGCGGCUGUCUGGUCUGUAACUGACGCUGAGGCUCGAAAGCAUGGGUAGCGAACAGGAUUAGAUACCCUGGUAGUCCAUGCCGUAAA
rnacentral:rRNA from 1 species